UACGUAGGGCGCAAGCGUUGUCCGGAAUUAUUGGGCGUAAAGAGCUCGUAGGCGGUUUUGUCGCGUCUGCUGUGAAAACCUCAGGCUCAACCUGGGGCUUGCAGUGGGUACGGGCAGACUAGAGUGCGGUAGGGGUGACUGGAAUUCCUGGUGUAGCGGUGGAAUGCGCAGAUAUCAGGAGGAACACCGAUGGGCGAAGGCAGGUCACUGGGCCGCAACUGAC
rnacentral:rRNA from 1 species